UCCAGCAUGGUGCCCAGAGAGCUUAGGAAACAUCUUCACCCUGCUGGACGGCUCUUGGUCUGGUUGGCUUCUCCCCUUCUUUUCCCCUCCCUGCAAAGAGGUGCACCAUCAGAUGUCCUCAUCAUCCACUGUGGCGGCAACAGCAUUUAAGGACGUGUGACGGCCCCUGCUUAGUCUACUUCUACCUGAUAUGGAGCGCCUGGGCCCAGUGUGCUACAGGAUAUAAAAGUCCCACAUUCCAUUGUGGCUGGCUGUCUCCCUGACAGCACCUGCACCUUACUGCUUUGCUGAACCAUUGUUUUUAUUUUUACUCCACACCUAAUCCCACAGUAUAUGAACACUACUUAUUUACCACUGUUACUAUCCAGGUUCCAUUAUUAUAAUUACUGUUACAACUAUUACACAUUUUCAUUUAUUUAAGUGUAUUAACUGUACAUUAUUUCAAGUCAUACAAAACAACAAUUUUAACCUUUUUACUGCUGUUUUGCAGGAUAGGAUUUUAAUUUGUUUAACUGUUUCUUGUGUAGUGUAAUCAUUUGUUAAAUAAAAUCAGGCAAGACUAAUAAUCGGUUCCAUCCAUCUUCAACCGCUUAUCCUGCAUACAGGGUUGCGGGACUAAUCAUCAAGUUAGCUAUGUUAAUUUGAAACAUAGUAGUGAUCUAAACCUUUCACAAAAUAUGAUGGUUAAUAGUUGUAAAUGAAAAUAAUGAGAUGGUAUUUAUAGUAUUGGUAUAUAUGGUAUUUAACAUGUUGAAUCUCUUUUUGCAGAAAGUAAAAAAUGGAAAGCAAGAGACCAGUGUGAAAUCCACUUAGAAGUUUUAUAAAUAGCUUCUCAAUAAAUAGUUUUGAAGCUCCCUAGGAGGUGUCAUUUAUUGUGACCUCUGAGAAGUCUUGUAGAUAUUGCACAGGUAUUGUGAGGCUUUACCCGUUUAGUGAGGCAAAAGGAAAAAAACUAAAUCAGCUGAUAGAAAGCACCUAUUAAUCAGAGGUGCACAUCAGCUGAUUGUUUGUCUUUGCCUCCCUGUUAAACCUUCAUGAUAGUGUAUUUGCCUGAGAAGACCUCAGAGUUUGAAACAUUGCAAUAAAUGAGACUGCCUAGUGGGAUUCAUAAUUACUUAGAGUGCAGGUCAUUCUUAUUUUUUCACUCUAAGCCCUUUUAUUCAGCACUAUGUGAGCAUAGUUUGUUGGAUGUGCAAGUUUUUGUGUUUGAACUAGACAGUACAGUAUAUAGUAUACAGUAUAUCAGAAUGUGAAAUCUAGCUAAUUUGACAUCUUUCUGUUGGAGGGUCGUCACUCUCCAUUGUCCCUGCCACAUCUGCCGAAGCUUACCUAAUGUCAUGUUCAAACAGUCAUGGGAGGUCUUGGGGGGGAUCUGGGUUUUAAUUUCAUUUUUUGAAAAUGCGAUGGCUGUUCAAGCAGUUGCUCAGAUCACGGCUGCCUUGUCGAGAAGAAACGGAGAGAAAAAACUGAAAAAAGCAGCCAAAAGGAGGCAGAGGGAGAAAUUGUUAAGAGCAGGAGGUAGAGGUGAAUGUUUGUCUAAUCGUUGUCCAGCAGACUGAGGUGCUAAGUGGUUGACUCAGCGACAAUAACAACACUUUGUGUCACAGACGAAAACAGGAUCUUCAUGCCAGGGUGCUGGAGGUAAAGCCGGUGCAGGUCGUCCUCCAUGUUGACCAACUUCAUGCUGAUGACCUCCCGCAUGCUGCUGCUGCCACAGUGGAUGAUGAGGACAUCUGAUGGUGCACCUCUUUGCAGGGAGGGGAAAAGAAGGGGAGAAGCCAACCAGACCAAGAGACAUCUGGCAGGGUGAAGAUGCUUCCUAAGCUCUCUGGGCACCAUGCUGGACACAAGCUGUCACCAAUGAUCCUCACUGCAACUAUGGGUAUAUGUGAUGGCCUAAGCCACACAGGUUAACAGCCAGCAAUGGUAAUACCGCACACAAGCUAUGUUUUAAGUACACAAGUUAUUUUUGCAGUUGGCCACACCCAAAUAAUUCAUGAUUUCAAAACACAGACCACAUAGUUUAUUUCAGGUAUAAUAUACAUUUAUUUGCUUUAGCCAUACACUGUUUAAAUGGAGUGCACACAUUUUCAUAUUGUAGGGUUAUCUAAACAUUUUCUGUUCUAUUAAUCAUUGUUUCUUUGUUACCAUGUUGGAGAGAGGUCUGUCCUGGAGGAAGAAAGGCAUGGCCAAGGGUGGAGGACUGUUUUAUCCAGUGGCCUGCCAAUCAAGCCGUACCAUGGGCUGCCAUGUUGGAGGGGGAUUUUGGGUUUAGUUUGUUUUACUUUGUUGUCCAUUUUGUUUUCCCCUUAUGUGUAAAUUGGUAUGGCCAAGACACUAUAUAUGUUCCCUUGUGUCUCAUUCAUUUAGGUCAGUUUGUUCAGUUCAUAUCCUGUUUUGUUGUAUGCUGUUUUGCGUAUAGUUCUAUUUUGUUGACCUCUUUUAUAGGCCAAGAUGUUAAGUAAAUUUAAAAAAUAAAAAACAGUUUUCCAAGAAA